rnacentral:rRNA from 1 species
ACACGCAUGACACACUGCAUAUCAAUAAGCGGAGGAAAAGAAACUAACAAGGAUUCCCUUAGUAACGGCGAGUGAAGCGGGAAGAGCUCAAAUUUGAAAUCUUCAAGGUUUUACCUUGACGAAUUGUAGUUUAAAGAAGUGUUUUCUGUUGGAGUUUUGGUAAAAGUUCUUUGGAAUAGGACAUCAUAGAGGGUGAGAAUCCCGUAUUUGACCAUUAUUUUCAGCUGUGUGAUACACUUUCAAAGAGUCGGAUUGUUUGGGAAUGCAGUCCAAAAUGGGUGGUAAAUUUCAUCUAAAGCUAAAUAUUGGCGAGAGACCGAUAGCGAACAAGUACCGUGAGGGAAAGAUGAAAAGAACUUUGAAAAGAGAGUUAAACAGUACGUGAAAUUGUCAAAAGGGAAGCGUUUGACACCAGUGUUGUUUUCUCGAAAAUCAAUUAAAAAAGGCCGGAUUUUGUGUUGUAUUGACCUUAAUAGCUUUCUUCACUCUUUUCUUGUCUUUUUUAAUGCACUUUUCGUUUAACAAGUCAACAUCAGUUUCUUUUGUUGUAAAGGGCCAUUGGAAGGUGGCUUUCUUUUCGGAGAAAGUGUUUAUAGCCUUUGAUCUCUGCAACCGGAGAGACUGAGGUCUGCAGCGUAGACUCUUCGGGGUUAAAUACAUUUGUGCUAAGCUAUAGCUUUUUAUAGACAACUUGUUGACUAUAUUUAGUCUUGUGGCUUACUCGCUUAUGCUAUUUUACCUACGCUUAGGAUGUUGAACUACUGAGACAUAG